GUUUUUAGGGUUCCGUAGCCAAAUAGCAAAAAACGGAACCCUUGUAGAUUCAUCAUGUCUGUCCGUCUGUCUGUCCGUGUAUGUCACAGCCACUUUUUUCCGAAACUAUGAGAACUAUACUCUUGAAACUUAGUAAGUAGAUGUAUUCUGUGAACCGCAUUAAGAUUUUCACACAAAAAUAGAAAAAAAAACAAUAAAUUUUGGGGGUUCCCCAAACUUAGAACUGAAACUCAACAAUUUUUUUCUUCAUCAAACCCAUACGUUUUGUGCGAGAGACACUUCCAAAGUGGUAAAAUGUGUGUCCCCCCCCCCCCUGUAACUUCUAAAAUAAGAGAAUGAUAAAACUAAAAAAAAAUAUAUGAUAUACAUUACCAUGCAAACUUCCACCGAAAAUUGGUUUGAACGAGAUCUAGUAAGUAGUUUUUUUUUAAUCGUCACAAA